GAUGAACGCUGGCGGCGUGCCUAAUACAUGCAAGUCGAGCGAACAGACGAGGAGCUUGCUCCUCUGACGUUAGCGGCGGACGGGUGAGUAACACGUGGAUAACCUACCUAUAAGACUGGGAUAACUUCGGGAAACCGGAGCUAAUACCGGAUAACAUGUUGAACCGCAUGGUUCAACAGUGAAAGACGGUCUUGCUGUCACUUAUAGAUGGAUCCGCGCUGCAUUAGCUAGUUGGUAAGGUAACGGCUUACCAAGGCAACGAUGCGUAGCCGACCUGAGAGGGUGAUCGGCCACACUGGAACUGAGACACGGUCCAGACUCCUACGGGAGGCAGCAGUAGGGAAUCUUCCGCAAUGGGCGAAAGCCUGACGGAGCAACGCCGCGUGAGUGAAGAAGGUCUUCGGAUCGUAAAACUCUGUUAUUAGGGAAGAACAAAUGUGUAAGUAACUAUGCACGUCUUGACGGUACCUAAUCAGAAAGCCACGGCUAACUACGUG
rnacentral:rRNA from 1 species